ensembl:lncRNA
UGUGGCCCUUAGCUCACUGGUGCCCCCUAAAGCCCUGGCGGGAGGGAAGAGGGUAUUAGUAUACUUGUCCUCAUUUUACCCAAACUCAUCGCCUCAUUCCCUUUCCACAAUCCUAGAGGUCCUCCCAGGGGUAUCUCUGUGAUUCCAGAUAAUGGGGUGCAUAGCGUGAGGUCCCUCUGGUUGUGGUAUGUGGGAUGCCGCCUCAACAUGGCCUGAUGAGCAGUGCCACGUCUGCGUGCCCAGGAUCCGAACCUGCGAAACCCUCGGCUGCUGAAGUGGAGCGCGUGAACUUAACCACUCAGCCACGGGGCUGGCUCCUAGGACAUCUCAUAUUGGACUAGCCCUAUUUCCAGCACUCAGUGGACACACAUAGCUGGACAGUGCAGUAUUGUGCUGGGUGUCAAGGAGAGAACAGGGAACAGGAUGGGCAAGGUGUCUGCCUUCACUGAGUUGACAGUCUGGUGUGGGAAACAUGUAAUAAAGAGGUAAAUAAUUUUGGAGAGUGUUAUUGAGAAAAUAAUACAUCGGUAUUUGAGGGAUUGGGAAGCUGACUUAGAUGGCCUGGGGAGUUAGGAAAGCCUCUCUGAGGCUGAGACCCAGAUAGGAGGCAUUAACCAUCAAUUAUCUAUUGCCACAAUAAUGCUGUAUACACUAAACCAUUCCACAAGUCAGAAGCUGAACAUAGUAACUAGUUAUUAUUGUUCAUGAGUCUACAAGUUAGCUGGGCGGUUCUUCUGGUUGCAGGUGGGCUCCUGCAUCUGUGGGCGGCUGCAGGUCAGGCAGGUGGCUGUGCUGAUCCUGGCUGGGCUUGCAUGUUUGGGGUCUGCUGGCUGUUGAGUGGUGUAGGAUGACCUCAGCCCUUUUCCAUGUGGCUUCUCAUCUUCCAGCAGGCUAGCCCAGGCCUGUUCUCACAGUGGAGGCAGGGAUCCCAGAGAGACCGUGGAAGCCUUCAAGGUUUCUUAAGGCUCAGGUUCAGGACUAUAUCACUGGAGGCUGGCCUGGUUGCACAGUGGUUAGGUUUGCACAUUCUGCUUCGGUGGCCCCGGGGUUUGCCAGUUCGGACCCCAGGUGUGGACCUACUCACUGCUUGGCAAGCCAUGCUGUGGCAGGCGUCCU